CAAGUUAACCAAAAAUCCCUAACACUCUACUCCUUCUUCUAUCUCUAUCUUUUGAUUUCCAUCUGCAUCUAUGGACAUUCAAACAAUCAAACCAAAACCAACUUUACACACCAAAGCUUAUAUUGAAUUACACACAAAAGAAACGUGUGUUUCCUUUUAAAAACUCAUUAAUGAAUCAACACUCCAUACCUUCUCUGUUCUUCUUCUGUUGCUGACCAACCAAAAAGAACAACUUCCAUAUGUUCAUCCUUCAUAUUUUCCUAUUAAACAUCAAACCAAACACAAAUUCCUUCCUGUGAUUUCUAUCAAAUAUUCAAACAAAAACAAAAUGGAAAAGAACCCCUUAUCGGUCGGAGCAAGACUCCUCUUCAUCUUCCUCCGAGCACAACCCCCAAACACUCUUGAUCAGCGCCUGUUAACGGCCUUCGCGACCGGCCAAAGACCGAGACCUCCUUUGCCCUCGCUUCUCACUCACUUUCACCAACCCCACAGAAGCGUCGCUGCUUCUUUCCCCUUCCCCUUCUUCGGCCUAAGUCGAACUCCGGAGGCCAUCACCGAUUUCGAAUCGAUCCACGAAAGAUCAGCAGCCAUCGAGUCUCCUUCCUUCGCAACUCACAGCAGUACGAGACGGAGCACGAACUCGAUGCUUCGGACUCGUCGACUCCGGAGACACUUCCUCAGUCUGUAUACGACCGACAUCCAUUGGACUCCUCCUGCAUUCGCUAUUUCCGUUUCGUUCAUAAGCCUGUGAGUAAUCGAUCGACCACUACCAUCGUCAAAUUUCUACUUGUGGACGCCCAUUCAAUUUGCCUCCCGUCGGAAUUGUGAAACCUAGAGCGUGGGUCUCGUCCCCAAUUGUUUGAACUUCAAAAAAAAAAAAUAAUAAUAAUAAUAAUAAUAAAAUAAUUAAAAAAAAUGCGACUGGUAAAUGAAGUGGACACUGUUCAAAAAUCAAUUUGUUUUAUUUAAAUUUAACCCUGAGAUUUACAAAUGUUACGCCUCUAGUCCCUACUGCGAAAUAAGUCAGCAAUAAAGAUCAACUCACAUUUGAAAUGUUC
rnacentral:lncRNA from 1 species